rnacentral:rRNA from 1 species
GAGUUUGAUCCUGGCUCAGGACGAACGCUGGCGGCGUGCCUAACACAUGCAAGUCGAACGGAGAAUUUCAAUAAGCUUGCUUAGAGAAAUUUUUAGUGGCGGACGGGUGAGUAACGCGUGGGUAACCUACCCAUAAACCCGGGACAACCCUUGGAAACGAGGGCUAAUACCGGAUAAUCUUUAAUGUUGGCAUCAACGUUUAAGAAAAGGUGGCCUCUGAAAAUGCUACCGAUUAUGGAUGGACCCGCGUCUGAUUAGCUAGUUGGUGGGGUAAAGGCCUACCAAGGCGACGAUCAGUAGCCGGCCUGAGAGGGUGAACGGCCACACUGGGACUGAGACAC